rnacentral:tRNA from 1 species
GUGGGUAUAACUCAGUGGUAGAGUGCAUGCUUAGUAGGCACAAGGUCCUGGGUUCAAUCCCUGGUAUCUCCA